rnacentral:rRNA from 1 species
UAACAGGAAACAGCUUGCUGUUUCGCUGACGAGUGGCGGACGGGUGAGUAAUGUCUGGGAAACUGCCUGAUGGAGGGGGAUAACUACUGGAAACGGUAGCUAAUACCGCAUAACGUCGCAAGACCAAAGAGGGGGACCUUCGGGCCUCUUGCCAUCAGAUGUGCCCAGAUGGGAUUAGCUAGUAGGUGGGGUAACGGCUCACCUAGGCGACGAUCCCUAGCUGGUCUGAGAGGAUGACCAGCCACACUGGAACUGAGACACGGUCCAGACUCCUACGGGAGGCAGCAGUGGGGAAUAUUGCACAAUGGGCGCAAGCCUGAUGCAGCCAUGCCGCGUGUAUGAAGAAGGCCUUCGGGUUGUAAAGUACUUUCAGCGGGGAGGAAGGGAGUAAAGUUAAUACCUUUGCUCAUUGACGUUACCCGCAGAAGAAGCACCGGCUAACUCCGUGCCAGCAGCCGCGGUAAUACGGAGGGUGCAAGCGUUAAUCGGAAUUACUGGGCGUAAAGCGCACGCAGGCGGUUUGUUAAGUCAGAUGUGAAAUCCCCGGGCUCAACCUGGGAACUGCAUCUGAUACUGGCAAGCUUGAGUCUCGUAGAGGGGGGUAGAAUUCCAGGUGUAGCGGUGAAAUGCGUAGAGAUCUG